AACGAACGCUGGCGGCAUGCCUAACACAUGCAAGUCGAACGAGACCUUCGGGUCUAGUGGCGCACGGGUGCGUAACGCGUGGGAACCUGCCCUUAGGUUCGGAAUAACUCCCCGAAAGGGGUGCUAAUACCGGAUAAUGUCUUCGGACCAAAGAUUUAUCGCCUUUGGAUGGGCCCGCGUUGGAUUAGCUAGUUGGUAGGGUAAAAGCCUACCAAGGCGACGAUCCAUAGCUGGUCUGAGAGGAUGAUCAGCCACACUGGGACUGAGACACGGCCCAGACUCCUACGGGAGGCAGCAGUGGGGAAUAUUGGACAAUGGACGAAAGCCUGAUCCAGCAAUGCCGCGUGAGUAAUGAAGGCCUUAGGGUUGUAAAGCUCUUUUACCCGGGAUGAUAAUGAGAUUACCGGGAGAAUAGGCUCCGGCUAACUCCGUG
rnacentral:rRNA from 1 species